rnacentral:rRNA from 1 species
GCUCGAAGCAGCGGUCGGCCAGGCAAGGAGACAUAAGAGGUGUAGAAUAAGUGGGAGAUAUCAGAUUUCGGUUUGGUAUCGACAAUGAAAUACCACUACUCUUAUUGUUUCCUUACUCACUUGAUUAAAUUGAACGUAUAUCAUUUCCUAGCCAUUAUACGGAUAUAUUUAUUAUAUCUUAUGGUAUUGGGUUUUGAUGCAUGCUUCUUGAUCAAAGUAUCACGAGUUUGUUAUAUAAUCGCAAACAAAUUCUUUAAUGAGAAUAUGCAUUUAUGUGUUUUCAAUUUGAAAAUUUGGUAUAACUCCAAUUACUCAGGUAUGAUCCAAUUCAAGGAAAUUGCCAGGUAGGGAGUUUGACUGGGGUGGUACAUCUCUUAAAUAAUAACGGAGGUGUUCCAAGACCAGCCCAGUGCGGACAGAAACCACACAUAGAGCAAAGGGGCAAAUGCUGACUUGAUCUCGGUGUUCAGUAAACACAGGGACAGCAAAAGCUCGGCAUAUAGAUCCUUUUGGUUUAAAGAG